GCAACAGCUCAAAUUUGAAAUCUGGCCCUAGGCCCGAGUUGUAAUUUGCAGAGGAUGCUUCUGGUUAGGUGCCUUCCAAGUCCCCUGGAACGGGGCGCCGAAGAGGGUGAGAGCCCCGUCCGGUUGGCCGCCAAGCCUGUGUGAAGCUCCUUCGACGAGUCGAGUAGUUUGGGAAUGCUGCUCUAAACGGGAGGUAGACCCCUUCUAAAGCUAAAUAUUGGCCAGAGACCGAUAGCGCACAAGUAGAGUGAUCGAAAGAUGAAAAGCACUUUGAAAAGAGGGUUAAAAAGUACGUGAAAUUGUUGAAAGGGAAGCGCUUGUGACCAGACGUGUGCCGGGGUGUUCAGCGGGCGUUCUCGCCCGUGCACUCGCCCCGGUACAGGCCAGCGUCGGUUCGCGUGGGGGGACAAAGGCGUUGGGAACGUAGCUCCUCCGGGAGUGUUAUAGCCCAGCGUGUCAUGCCCCCGCGCGGACCGAGGUACGCGCUCCGCAAGGACGCUGGCGUAAUGGUCUCCAGCGGCCCGUCUUGAAACACGGACCAAGGAGUCGAGGUUUUGCGCGAGUGUUUGGGUGUUAAACCCGCACGCGUAAUGAAAGUGAACGCAGGUGGGAGCUUCGGCGCACCACCGACCGAUCCUGAUGUUUUCGGAUGGAUUUGAGUAGGAGCGUAGGGCCUCGGACCCGAAAGAUGGUGAACUAUACUUGGAUAGGGUGAAGCCAGAGGAAACUCUGGUGGAGGCUCGCAGCGGUUCUAACGUGCAAAUCGAUCGUCAAAUCUG
rnacentral:rRNA from 1 species